UGGGGAAUAUUGGACAAUGGGCGCAAGCCUGAUCCAGCCAUGCCGCGCGGGUGAAGAAGGCCUUCGGGUUGUAAAGCCCUUUUGUUGGGAAAGAAAUCCUGUCGGCUAAUACCCGGCGGGGAUGACGGUACCCAAAGAAUAAGCACCGGCUAACUUCGUGCCAGCAGCCGCGGUAAUACGAAGGGUGCAAGCGUUACUCGGAAUUACUGGGCGUAAAGCGUGCGUAGGCGGUUCGUUAAGUCUGUCGUGAAAGCCCUGGGCUCAACCUGGGAAUUGCGAUGGAUACUGGCGAGCUAGAGUACGGUAGAGGAUGGUGGAAUUCCCGGUGUAGCGGUGAAAUGCGUAGAGAUCGGGAGGAACACCCGUGGCGAAGGCGGCCAUCUGGACCAGUACUGACGCUGAGGCACGAAAGCGUGGGGAGCAAGCA
rnacentral:rRNA from 1 species